GACGAACGCUGGCGGCGUGCUUAACACAUGCAAGUCGAACGAAGUGGCGAACGGGUGAGUAACGCGUAAUCAACCUGCCCUUCAGCGGGGGACAACAGUUGGAAACGACUGCUAAUACCGCAUACUGAGGAGGGGAUUGCGUCUGAUUAGCUAGUUGGAGGGGUAACGGCCCACCAAGGCGAAGAUCAGUAGCCUGUCUGGAGAGAGGAAUGGCCCCAAGGGGACUGGGACAAGGCCCAGGCUCCUAAGGGAAGCAGCAGUGAGGGAUCUUCCGAAAAUGACGAAAGUCUGGCGGGGGAACGCCGCGGGAGUGAAGACAGGCUUUAGGUUGUAAAGCUCUGUUGAUCGGGACGCGGUACCGGAAUAGAAAGCCACGGCUAACUACGUGCCAGCAGCCGCGGUAAUAC
rnacentral:rRNA from 1 species